rnacentral:rRNA from 1 species
CAGUGAUCAUCGAAUCUUUGACGCACCUUGCACUCCUUGGUAUUCCGAGGAGUAUGCCUGUUUGAGUCUCAUGGUAUUCUCAACCCCUAAAUUUUUGUAAUGAAGGUUUAGCGGGCUUGGACUUGGAGGUUGUGUCGGCCCUUGUCGGUCGACUCCUCUGAAAUGCAUUAGCGUGAAUCUUACGGAUCGCCUUCAGUGUGAUAAUUAUCUGCGCUGUGGUGUUGAAGUAUUUAUGGUGUUCAUGCUUCGAACCGUCUCCUUGCCGAGACAAUCAUUUGACAAUCUGAGCUCAAAUCAGGUAGGACUACCCGCUGAACUUAAGCAUAUCAAU